CAUGGAGCUUGCCUUCCAGCAGAAGGAGACAGAAAACAAACUUACAAAUAAAAUGUGAUACAUCACAAAAUGAGCGAAAGAGAGACCGUCAAGCCAAGCAGGAGAGAAAGUUAAGCCCAGCGCAGGGCCUGUACUCACGACGCCCUGAGAUCAAGAUCUGAGCCCAGACAAGAACCGGACACUUACCGGAUGGAGUCAGCCAGGCGUCCCAUUAUGGAAAUGACAAGCCUGUUCCAUGCACGUGUGGGUCAUGCAGUGAAUCAUGACGGAUCUCAGCGGUACCUUCAAGGGGGUCAUCAAAUCCGCACGAUGAGUGACUUGACUUUCUGUGUUCUUCUCACGGACAUCUCCUGCCUCCGAAACAGGAGGCAAGACUCUUUGGGCAACUACAGAGCAAAGGCAACGUUUCUUUUGUGUCUUUUCUCAUCUACUCCUGCGGCACGUGUCUCCUCCUGCCCGUUGGUUAAGCUUACAUCAACUCCACAUGCAAAAUCCCACCACCAUCUUGGAACAGAACCCCACAGUCAAGACUUAGGAUGCUGGUGGAAGAGCACUUUCCCCACUGUAAUCUGACAGGACAUCUACUACCAGCCCAUUGUCGGUGGCCAUGAGUGAGAGAGGAGUGGUGAGUCAGCAGUAUCUGUGUUUCUAGCCUGUGUGCCCUC